CACGCCCUCCCAUCUCUCCCUCCUUCCUGCCGUCCCCCGCCUGAGGGAGGGGAGCGGUGCAGCAGACAUCCGAGGGCAGCUGGGACCCCCUGACUCAGCCGACGGGUGAGUCAGGCUCCCUGCAGGCCACACCGGACCCCCCCAGGGCGGGGAUUUCCCCAAGAUGAGAAAUCAGCCACCGGAAGUCACGCCGGACCUUGGACGGGCAGACAGAGGCUGGGAGGAGUUCUGGGUGCAGAGCCCCCCAACCUGUGCUCUCAUCUCUUGCUCUGGGGUAAGCCAGUGGCCAUGCUAUAAGGACACUCAAGCCACCCUAUGAAGAAGCCCACAUGAAGAGGAACUGAGAUAUCUGGCCAACAGCCAGCCAGUCACUGAGCCUGCCAACCACGCUGUGGCAGGUACCUCCAGCCCCAGACACCUGCAGCCUCCACUGAAAGCUCAAUGGCAGCCUCAUGAGACCCUGGACCGGAACCACCCAACGAAGCGGCUCCUGUAUUCCUGAUUGACAGAAACUACGGGAUCAUAAAUGCUUGCUGUUCAGUCUGCCAAGUGUUGGCGUGAUUUGUUAAACAGCAACCAGUAACUAAUACGCCACCCAUGGCUGCCGCGUUCCUGCUGUGGGGCCAGCACUAUUCCAUGCUUAGAGGCUCCAUCAAUACCUGUGAUGGACUAAAUGGUCAGUACAAACAACAGCUCCUCUGUAAUGGUAUGAGGCAGACAGGUUUCUAAAGGCAAUAUGCUAAGGUGCAAACUCAACCCCAAAAGACCACAUAGUGUAUCAUCCCAUUUAUAUGAAAUGUCCAGAACAGGCAAAUCCAUAGAGACAGAAAGCAGAUUAGUGGUUGCCAGAGGCUGAGAGAUGGAAGAAAAGUAGAGAGUAACUGCUAAUGGUGUGAAAUCUCUUUUUGGAGUGAUGAAAAUGUUUUAAUUUUUUUUUUUUAAUAGAGACAGGGUCUCACUAUAUUGCCCAGGCUGGUCUUGAACUUCUAGGCUCAAGUGAGUUCAGCCUCAGCCUCCCAAAGUGCUUGGAUUACAGACAUGAGCCACCAUGCACAGCUUAAAAUUUAUGAUGCUGAUGGUUGCAUAACUGUGAAUAUACUAAAAACCACUGAGGCGGGGUUUGGUGACUGACACCUGUAAUCCUAGCACUUUGGGAGGCCGAGGUGGGAGGAUCACUUGACACCAAGAGUUUGAAACCAGCCUAGGCAACAUAGCAAGACUCCAUCUCUACAAAAAAUUUAAAAAUAAAAAUAAAAACCAUUAGGCCAGGCAUGAUGGCUCAUGCCUGUAAUCCUAGCACUUUGGGAUGCCAAUGCGGGUGGAUCACCUGAGGUUAAGAGUUCGAGACCAGGCUGGCCAACAUGGUGAAACCCCAUCUCUACUAAAAAUACAUAAAGUAGCCCGGUGUGGUGGUGGGCGCCUGUAAUCCCAGCUACUCGGGAGGCUGAAACAGAAGGAUCACUUGAACCCGGGAGGCAGAGGUUGCAAUGAGCCGAGAUCACGCCACUGCACUUCAGCCUGUGUGACAGGAGUGAAACUCCAUCUCAAAAAUAAAAACGAAAACAAUAACAACAACAGCAACAAAAAACCAUUGCAUUGUGCACAUUAAAUGAAUUGUAUGGUAUGUGAAUUCUAGCUCAAUAAAGCUUCUUAUGCUAAAACAUGACGAGGAAGAAGAGGAGGAGGAGAAGAGGCAAAGUCACUGGUGCCCAAGGAAUGGCACCAGGAGUGGUCUCCAGGAAGGCUGGCCACCUGUAGGGCUGGGAGAGCUCUGUGAUGCUGACAUCAGGGGCCUUCUUCAUGCCUGAGAAACAGGACAUGGGCUAAGGGCGGCUAACCAAGGCCUGGGAGAAUAUUGAGAGGUAAACAGGCGAUGUGGGUGUGGGGCGCUCAGCCUACUUGGCCAAAGGGUGAGUUCUUGCUAAUUUCACAGGGAGAGCCUGACUGGUCUCAAGCACCUGAGGCCCAGCAUGAGAAGUCAACAUCCCUGACUUCUCAUCCUCUAUAGAAAUUUCCCCCAGACCAGGCGCGGUGGCUCACGCCUGUAAUCCCAGCACUUUGGCAGGCCAAGGUGGGCGGAUCACCUGAAGUCAGGAGUUCAAGACCAGCCUGGCCAACACCGUGAAACCCCGUCUCUACUAAAAAUACAAAAAUUA
rnacentral:lncRNA from 1 species